GCCGGGGUAGCCAAGCCAGGUUAAGGCGACCGCCUCGAGAGCGGUUGUCCCUUUGCGGACGCAUGGGUUCAAAUCCCAUCCCCGGCG
rnacentral:tRNA from 1 species